UAUAAGUGCAGUUUUACACUAUUCAUUUUCAACAUUUGACCAUUUAUUUUAUUUAAUUUUUUUUUAUGAUUACUAUUUUUAUUGAUAUUAGAUGAUAAAAUAUGAAUAAUACUUUAUGUGUGACUAACUUUUUUAAAAUUUUUCAUAAAAUUUUUAAAUAAGACGGACGUUACUUAUUUUGGGACGGAUGUAGUAAUU
rnacentral:pre_miRNA from 1 species